AGCGAACGCUGGCGGCAGGCCUAACACAUGCAAGUCGAGCGCCCCGCAAGGGGAGCGGCAGACGGGAGAGUAACACGUGGGAACAUGCCCUUCAGUACGGAACAACCAAGGGAAACUUUGGCUAAUACCGUAUACGCCCGUAAGGGGAAAGAUUUAUCGCUGAAGGAUUGGCCCGCGUCUGAUUAGCUAGUUGGUGGGGUAAUGGCCCACCAAGGCGACGAUCAGUAGCUGGUCUGAGAGGAUGAUCAGCCUCACUGGGACUGAGACACGGCCCAGACUCCUACGGGAGGCAGCAGUGGGGAAUAUUGGACAAUGGGCGCAAGCCUGAUCCAGCCAUGCCGCGUGAGUGAUGAAGGCCUUAGGGUUGUAAAGCUCUUUCGUCAGGGAAGAUAAUGACGGUACCUGAAGAAGAAGCCCCGGCUAACUUCGUGCCAGCAGCCGCAGUAACAC
rnacentral:rRNA from 1 species